CCUGGCUGCCCCGAGCAGACCGUUGCCCGCCGCCCCCACAGACGCUACCCCCUGGUGCUUGCCAGGCAGCACGCUGCCAGGCGGACUCCGAGGCGGCACCGGCGCUGCUGCUACAACGGAUGCGCCUACACCUGCCUGGAAGCCGUGCCGCCCCCACCAGGUGGGCGAAUCCUGAGACACAAAUUUUACAAAGAAUAUCCAGCUGGGUUGCAAGAACAUUUAUCCACACUUUCUGCUAAGCCUUGGAAAUAGUUGGGAAAAGUAGUUUGACCCUCAACGUUCACAUUCAGCUCAGCAGAGCAAGACCCCAGA
rnacentral:lncRNA from 1 species